UACAGAGGGUGCGAGCGUUAAUCGGAAUUACUGGGCGUAAAGCGCGCGUAGGCGGCUUUGCAAGUCGGGUGUGAAAUCCCCGGGCUUAACCUGGGAACUGCAUUUGUGACUGCAUGGCUAGAGUGCGGCAGAGGGGGAUGGAAUUCCGCGUGUAGCAGUGAAAUGCGUAGAUAUGCGGAGGAACACCGAUGGCGAAGGCAAUCCCCUGGGCCUGCACUGACGCUCAUGCACGAAAGCGUGGGGAGCAAACAGG
rnacentral:rRNA from 1 species